rnacentral:rRNA from 1 species
UACGAAGGGUGCAAACGUUGCUCGGAAUUAUUGGGCGUAAAGGGCGCGUAGGCGGCCACGCACGUCCGUUGUGAAAUCGCCCGGCUCAACUGGGCGGGGUCAGCGGAUACGGUGUGGCUAGAGCAAGCUAGGGGGCAAUGGAAUUCCCGGUGUAGUGGUGGAAUGCGUAGAUAUCGGGAGGAACACCAGUGGCGAAGGCGGUUGCCUGGAGCUUUGCUGACGCUGAUGCGCGAAAGCGUGGGGAGCGAUCCGG